ensembl:lncRNA
GUUGCUUCAAGGUAGAUGAUGGUUUAACCUCUGUGAUGGCUAUUCUUGGUUGCCAACUGGACUCCAUCUGGAAUGAACUAAAACCCAAGCAUCUGCGCACUCUUGUGAGAGAUUUUUCUUGAUUAGUUCAUUUGAAGACCCACCUUAAAUCUGGGCCACACCUUCUUUUGGCAGCCUAUAGAAAGAACAUGGAAGAAGGAGGCUCUUGUCCUUUGUCUUCUUGCCCUUACUCUCAUUGGCAAGUCCAUUCCUUCUCUGGCAUUAAAGCCUACUUCUUUGGGACUCUGCAGUAUACUGAAGACCAGCCAAGACAUCCAGCUUUGGACUGAACAACCAUUGAAUUCUUGGACCUUCUGUUGGGAGACAACAAUUGUUGGGAUAGUCAGUUCACCACAGCCUGCCAACAAUGGCUAUCUUUACACUGGAGAAGCUGAGAACUGGGUAGCUGUUUGGCCUUUGAGGUUGGGUGCCUGGGUCGUUGCAACCUGAUGCUGUAAGCCUGGAGGAUACCUGGAGAACAACUGGUGUUCCAUGUCGGGAGCCUCAAGAAGCUAGGUUCUAAUGCCAGUGAAGUUAUGGUGCAGCAGCAGCAGUGGCAGCAGGGCAGAUGAACUUGAUGGUGAGACACAAGGCAAGCAGGCAAAAUGCAAAUCUUUUUUCUCCAACCUCCUUUUCUCUGGGCUGCCACUGGAAGAUGCUCCCUUCUUUUAGGGCAGGUCUUCCUACUUCAAAUGACCUAAUGAAGAAAAUCCGUCAAAGGCAUGCUCAACAGCGUGCCUUUAAGUUGACAACCAAGAUUAGCCAUCACACUUUGCCUCAUGUUCUAGGGUCUCAUUGAAAGUAGAACUUAUGAGCAAAUACUUAGCUAAAGAGACUGCAAGAUAUUGAAAAUGUGGGUUGGCUCCUCUCAAAUACUUAUCAUAAAAUCCAGAAAGGGGGACGUGAUGCAAAGAUGGGGAUGUAAAGCAGAUUCUCCCCCUCCCCAUGUUGCAAACACAUUUAUGUAUGUCCCAGUUGAAGGUUGGUGCAGACCCUCCCUCUCAGAAGACAGUAGGAGACUUCUUUUCAGCCUUUGGCUAAGAUCAAGUGAAGGCAAUGGAAAGAUGAAAGAAAUUCAUUAUGUUUAGGGCCACUGAUGUCUUUACAGAUCAGAAGCAGCGCGCAGAAACCCAUCUGAGAUGGCUGGUCGCUAUUGUCAACUCGACUACAUCUGGAAUCACCUAAAACCCAAGCUGCUGGGCCCUCCUGUGAGGGACUUCCUGGUUAAGACUAUUUGAAGCAGGAAGACCAACCCUAAAUCCUGGGGAGGAACAGGUAUAUUUGGCUUAUGCUACGCCUUCUGGUAGCAGCCCACAGAAAAGGACUUGGAAGAUAGAAACUUUGCUUUUCACCUGCCUGCCCUCACUCUCAAUGGCAGGUUCGCCUAUCCUGCUGUAGUCAAUUCUUCAGGACUCCAAUGUAGACUGAAGACCAGCAGGACUCCCCCAGGACUGCACUACCAGACUGGCACUGGUGAGCUACCUAGCAUUGUGAACUGAAAAACCACUGAAUUCUUGGUUUUUCAUCAUAAGGCAGCCAUUGUUGAACUACCCAGACCACAUCCUGUAAGCCAGCCUAAUCUCCUUUUAAUAUUGUCUUAGUUAGGGUUACUAUUUCUGAGAUGAAACACCAUGGCCAAAAAUGACCUGGGGAGGAACAGGUAUAUUUGGCUUAUGCUUACAUAUUAUGGUCCAUCUCUGAAGGCAGUCUAAGUAUUCAUUCAUUCAUUCAUUCAUUCAUUCAUUCAUUCAGUCUGUUCCUUCAGAAAAUCCUAGGUAAUACAUACCCUUCCCUGCCUUGAGGUGCACUGGUGUCUUCACCAAGGGUGUGGCCACUUGAAGCUGUGGGGCACUGGGGAGAACUUCAGGUACAGUGUAGAGCUGCAAUGUCUCAGCUGGAAGCUGCCACAGGGCCAUUCUGAAAAUCUGUGAAAUCGAUGCUGAUACCCCUGUCAUUGUCUUACGGUGUGUAACUUGCUUGGUUUCACUUAGUCACACAUUAAGUUGAAGAGCUAUUUUGUUUCACCUAAAAUCUUACCUUGAGCCUCACCCAGUCUUACUUAAGUGAUACUUACAUGCAGCUUGGGACUGCAGUUCUUAGAAUUGACUCAGUAAUGAACUGAGGUUACUGGGAUAGAAUUAUUAUAUUUUGCAUAAGGGGUGGGGAUCAACUUCUAGGGACUAAAGGUAUAUAUUUUCUUGAAAAUUUAUAUGUUAUAUGGACCAAGGCAGUCCCCCCCUUUUUUUGUCUGAUGGAACUCCCAUUAAAAAAAGUCUCAAAACCAAGUGAACCUAACACUAUUUUGUUAGCUCUCCAUUACUAUAACAAAAUACCCAAGAAAUCAACUUAAAGGAAGAAAGGCUAUUUUGUUUCACAGUUUCAGAGGCUUCUGUCCAUUGUGUGAAUCUAUUCUGUUGACUCUGGACCUAUGAUAAAGCAAAGUAAAUGCAAUUUAAGGCUGCUUAUCUUACAAUAGCCAGAAAGCAGAUCAAGGGAGGGGCAGAUACAAGACAUACCUGUCAGGACACAACUAAACUAUCCAGACAUCAACUUUCUCCAACCAGCCCUACCUCCUAAUCUCCCAGUGUUGCAAUCAGCUAGCAUCUAAGCCUUCGGCACAUGGCCACUGGAGACAUUUCAGAUCACAACUAUAUCACAGUAUACUGAACCAAGGAUUUAAAGGAUGACAGCAAAGAUGUGUCCCUCAUGAUGAUGGUACCAUCUAAAUGACUCUUUACUAUCUCAUGCUUGUUUUAGGACAUUUGUGUUAUACUAGCAUAGUUUGUGAUGUCUUCAUAAACGCAGGUGGAGAGGGGCUGUGUACUCAUUGUGUUCUUUAGGUAGGGAUUUGUAGAUUUCCAGGUCAAACAUGGCCAGUGACCAUCCCACACCAUCCAUAGUGUAAGUGAUGCUCACAGCCUGCAGACAGAGAAAGCUUUUAGCAUUGAAAGUUUUCGUCUGUUAGAAAGUGUGUAGGUAACCAAACACUUCGGAUAACUGACGUUUAAAUAUAAAUUGAUUUAGGAUUAGUGCAAGCUCUAAGGGUCUUAUAGUUAUGUUCAAGUUGGGUAGAGUGGCAUAACACUUGAAUUCUAUCUCCUUUUCUUUUUUUUUUUUUUUUUUUUUUUCCGAGACAGGGUUUUUCUCUGUGUGUCUUUGUAGAGCAGGCUGGCCUUGAACUCAAAGAGAUUCACCUGUCUCUGCCUCUGGAGUGCUGAGAUCAAAGGUGUGCGCCACCACCACCUGGCCUCUAUCUCCUUUUUAAAGCAACAAUAAAAGCAAAAUAUCUCUGGAGACUUUUCCAGAACACAGUUUUUCUUUUCCUUUUUGGUCUUCGAGACAGGGUCUUUCGGAAUAACUAUGGCUGGCCUGGUCCUUAUUAAAUAGCUCAGGGCUGGCUUCAAAGUUGCUGCAAUCCUCCUGUGUUCUCAAGUAUUAGGAUUGCAAGCAUGUAAUCUAUGUAAUCCACCAUACCUGCCUCCAAGAGAUAAGUUUCCUGAGAGGCUUCCAAGUCUUUGUGGCUUAUAGGAGGCACGGAGGUCUUUGUGCUCAUAGAUAAGCUUUAGGGGAACCUGGAAUGUUAACACAUAGAGUUGUUUCUUCAAGGGAAGGAAUGCAAUACCUGUUUUCCACCCAGAAGGCUGGAGUGGGUGUGCUUCCUAGCCUGGGGACCUUUGCUCCAUCUGUGUGGCUAGAGACUUUUACAGCACUAGACCCUCCCCCAGACUCUUAUCACAAUUUUUUUUCAAUCAAUCUAUAGAACCUAUCUUUAUGGUAUUUGCAAAGAAUUCCAGUGUAGUCAUGUCUGAUAUGUAUUUAGCUUACCUUGUUCCUCAAGGAGAUGUAUGUAUGCUUUGUUGUGCACAUGAGAUUGAGUUACUUAUCACCAGAAUAGUUUUCAUCAAAUUGUGCUGUGCUUAAGUAUGACUAAAAUAAACCUCUUUGGAGUCAGACUCCCAAAGUUUGAACCAACAUCGGCUACUGAGUUGCAUUGAGCUAAACUGCCUAAUUGCCACCUGCAGCUCAUCACUCUGCUGGCUGUAAAGAGGGCAGUGACUCCCUGCAAUGAUUCUGUCUUGAUUUCUUCAUUCUGUCUUCAGCAAAAUAUUUUAUUUAUGAAAAAUUAAAACUUUGUAAAUUUUUCUACUGAACUUAAAUAAUAAUUCUUGUCACUUAUUUAUAUAGUUAAGGUUUGAGUUGCCUUUGUAUCUCUAU